rnacentral:rRNA from 1 species
CUACGGGUUGCUCCAGUGGGGAAUAUUGGGCAAUGGGCGAAAGCCUGACCCAGCAACGCCGCGUGAAGGAAGAAGGUUUUCGGAUCGUAAACUUCUAUCCCGGGUGAAGAUAAUGACGGUAGCCCGGAAGGAAGCCCCGGCUAACUACGUGCCAGCAGCCGCGGUAAUACGUAGGGGGCAAGCGUUGUUCGGAAUGAUUGGGCGUAAAGGGCGCGUAGGCGGCCUUUUAAGUCCGGUGUGAAAGUCCUGCUUUUAAGGUGGGAAUUGCAUUGGAAACUGGAAGGCUUGAGUGCAGGAGAGGUAAGUGGAAUUCCCGGUGUAGCGGUGAAAUGCGUAGAGAUCGGGAGGAACACCAGUGGCGAAGGCGACUUACUGGACUGUAACUGACGCUGAGGCGCGAAAGUGUGGGGAGCAAACAGGAUUAGAUACCCCCGUAGUC